rnacentral:rRNA from 1 species
AAAUGAAUUGACGGGGACCCGCACAAGCAGCGGAGCAUGUGGUUUAAUUCGACGCUACGCGAAAAACCUUACCAAGACUUGACAUCCUGCGCCAAGCCCCCAAAAGGGCCUUUCCUUCGGGACGCAGAGACAGGUGUUGCAUGGUUGUCGUCAGCUCGUGUCGUGAGAUGUUGGGUUAAGUCCCGCAACGAGCGCAACCCUUAUCACUAGUUGCCAAUAUUAAGUUAGGAUUCUUUAGUGAGACUGCCGUGGAUAACACGGAGGAAGGUGGGGAUGACGUCAAAUCAUCAUGGCCCUUACGUCUUGGGCUACACACGUGCUACAAUGGCUAUAACAAAGAGCAGCGAUAUCGCAAGGUGGAGCAAAUCUCAAAAAGAUAGUCUCAGUUCGGAUUGAGGGCUGCAACUCGCCCUCAUGAAGUCGGAGUUGCUAGUAAUCCCGAAUCAGCAUGUCGGGGUGAAUGCGUUCCCGGGUCUUGUACACACCGCCCGU